AUUGAACGCUGGCGGCAGGCCUAACACAUGCAAGUCGAGCGGAUGAGUGGAGCUUGCUCCAUGAUUCAGCGGCGGACGGGUGAGUAAUGCCUAGGAAUCUGCCUGGUAGUGGGGGACAACGUUUCGAAAGGAACGCUAAUACCGCAUACGUCCUACGGGAGAAAGCAGGGGACCUUCGGGCCUUGCGUUAUCAGAUGAGCCUAGGUCGGAUUAGCUAGUAGGUGAGGUAAUGGCUCACCUAGGCGACGAUCCGUAACUGGUCUGAGAGGAUGAUCAGUCACACUGGAACUGAGACACGGUCCAGACUCCUACGGGAGGCAGCAGUGGGGAAUAUUGGACAAUGGGCGAAAGCCUGAUCCAGCCAUGCCGCGUGUGUGAAGAAGGUCUUCGGAUUGUAAAGCACUUUAAGUUGGGAGGAAGGGCAGUAAGUUAAUAACCUUGCUGUUUUGACGUUACCAACAGAAUAAGCACCGGCUAACUUCGUGCCAG
rnacentral:rRNA from 1 species